AACGAACGCUGGCGGCAUGCCUAACACAUGCAAGUCGAACGAGACCUUCGGGUCUAGUGGCGCACGGGUGCGUAACGCGUGGGAACCUGCCCUUAGGUUCGGAAUAACUCCCCGAAAGGGGUGCUAAUACCGGAUAAUGUCUUCGGACCAAAGAUUUAUCGCCUUUGGAUGGGCCCGCGUUGGAUUAGCUAGUUGGUAGGGUAAAAGCCUACCAAGGCGACGAUCCAUAGCUGGUCUGAGAGGAUGGUCAGCCACCCUGGGACUGAGACACGGCCCAGACUCCUACGGGAGGCAGCAGUGGGGAAUAUUGGACAAUGGGCGAAAGCCUGAUCCAGCAAUGCCGCGUGAGUGAUGAAGGCCUUAGGGUUGUAAAGCUCUUUUACCCGGGAUGAUAAUGACAGUACCGGGAGAAUAAGCUCCGGCUAACUCCGUG
rnacentral:rRNA from 1 species